ensembl:lncRNA
CCGAUGUGCACGGAGAGUUCUAAAGAGCUCCAGAAGAAGCCAGACCUCCUGGAGGAGUUCCAUCAGUCAGCUAAAACAUGAAGAUCAGUGAAAGGAAGAUCUUAUUAAAGCUGAAGCUGCUCGUCCUGAUCUCUAAUCAAUAAUCCAUUAAUGAUCGAUCAGAUCUGAUCAAUCUCUAAUCAAUGAUCGAUUAAUGAUCGAUCAGAUCUGGUCCUUCUGGACCAUCAAUGAUACACCCUGUUAAAAGGGUGUUUUCCUGCCAUUGUCUCCUUAGGGCUGCUCUGGGGUUCAGGCAUAUGGGUUCUGUAAAGCGUCUCGAGACAAUUUGACUAAUUGGCGCUAUAUAAAUAAAAUUGAAUUGAAUUGAAUCAACUCUCUGAGCGGCCUGAUGGCGGCGCUGCUGACUCCAGAGUGGACGAAGAAGAAGAGUUCAGGAGGUUCCGGUGAGCAGCAGGAGGAGGUUCUGAAGAGGUUCAGAGAAAACCGGAAGCGGUCCUUCAGCAGAUUCACUAGAACCCGGACACGUUUCAGAGCCUCCGACUGGAGGAAGCGGCCGAUCCGACGUUUGUGGACGGUUGCUGAGAGACGGGUUCUGGCGGAGCUCCACCCCGGUACCGGAGCACCGGUAACUCCCGAGCCUCAGACGGAGCAGCGCGACGCAUGCGCAGCUGUUGACGCGAGCAGUGUCACCCGUCUCCAUGGUAACGGCGUGUUGUGAUCAGACAUGGCGGAGCAGAAAGUCCAGAGCUGCGACAGGAGAGAGUCUAACCCGAGCCCUUUCCAUGGAUACAGUCAGAGAAGAAGUCACCCCCUGUACCGGACCACCAACCAGACGUACGGCAGCAACACACCUGGAGCUCACCUCACACAGUCCUCUCAUGUUUCAUCGACACAACCUGAGAGGAUACAACAGAACACGGAACAACAUGUGGAACACCAACAGAACACGGAACAACAUGUGGAACACCUACAGAACACGGAACAACAUGUGGAACACCAACAGAACACGGAACAACAUGUGGAACACCUACAGAACACGAAACAAAUUGUGGAACACCAACAGAACAUGGAACAACAUGUGGAACACCAACAGAACUGAAGCGCUCACGAACUCAGAGAUUUUUCUGUAAAGAACAUCAAUAAUUCAACAAACCACACAAGAAGAAUUAACUUUUCAAAAUGAGGAGAUCGUCAACACACCCGGAGAAUCGUGAGAACACACCUGGAGAAUCGUCAGAACACACCUGGAGAAUCUGUACGGUUCCAUUCCACUGAGUUCAGCCCAGAAAGGUUCUUUCCAGAACCCAACCCUAGAAUCAAAGUGAGUCCAGUCAGGACCCUCUGAAGCUGCUAGAACCAGACCCGACAGCUCCAUGUUAGAACCAUAGACGAGGGUGAAGAACUGGACAGUUGUGGUUCCACAGAAACACCUGGCUGCUGUUCCUGGUCCUACUGGAGUUCUCUGUAGUUGGACCAACAUGAGUUCAUUCCAGAGUUGCUCUUCUCACCCAUCAGUGCUUUCAUGGGAACGCUCCAGAACACCUGAAAGAACUCACCUGUCAUCAACCAUCAAUAGAAACUUCCGUAAAAACACCUGUUACCUCCUCCUCCCGGCCAAAAUCAGGACCAUGGAGACUGAACCUCCAGAACCUCCCGAACAUUCAGAACCUCCUCCUGACCUCCUGACAGCUCCUCAGCCAGCCGAUGUUUUUAAAAGAUGUUUGUGUUUAACAAAGCUGUUCAUGAAACGUUCCCCUGAAGUUUCUGUUUUUAUUUUAUCUGAUUGUUUUUGUUUUUAUCCUUUUAUAUCUUUAAUGUAGAAC